rnacentral:rRNA from 1 species
AAAGGAACGAAUACAUAGGGGAUUCAUGUUGAGUACUGCAUUUUGUUUUCUAAAAGUAGCGACGGAAAAACUGUUCCUGAAAAUGACAUUGAAAAUCUCUUGGUUGCAUCAGAGUCCGAGUUGGAGCAAAUCCAAUUGAGCGAACACCCUGCCCUGGGAGGAUGGGGGCUCUAGAGAAGACAAUUAGGGGCUUUGCGGAAAGGGCUGGGGAUGAAGUGGUGAAGCCGGAGCUCGGGACAUCUUUUGACUCACUAACAGAGGCGUACGAUUUUUACAACUUAUAUUCAUGGGAGCAUGGGUUUGGUAUUAGAUACGGAAAGAGCCGACUUAAUCUAGAUAAAAGAAAGACCAUGCAGGAGAUUGUGUGCGGCUGCUCGGGGAAACCUCUGCGUGAGAAUACACGUUCUUGCAGAUGUGAGUGUCCAGCAAUGAUAAGGUUGUUAAGGACAUCGGACAACGGCUGGUACAUAACGGAGCAUCGAGUCAAGCAUAAUCAUGUGAUGACGCCAAAUUGUGGAGAAAUGCUGCACUGGCCAUCUCACAAGCACAUUGAUGUGUACACCAAAGAUCUGGUUCGGAACCUACGGAAGAACAACAUCAACCUCAGCAAGGUGUACAGCAUUAUAGCUGGGUUUUUUUGGCACAGUUGAGAGUGUGCCUUUCACGAAACGGUCUCUUCGUAAUUUGUGUGGACAGAUAAGCCGUGACGAGGCAGAGGAUGAUGUUAGAAAAACGAUUGAAGUUUUCGAUGAGCUUGGAGCUAAGGAUCCUGAAUUUCUGUUCAGGGUGCAGCCAGACUGGGAAGGCAGGAUAAGGAAUUUGAUGUGGGCAACAGGAGAUAGCCGGUUGAAAUACAAGUUUUUUGGUGAUGUUGUCACUUUCGAUACGACUUAUCGGACGAACGUGUACAACAUGCCGUUUGGUUUAUUUGUUGGAGUGAACAACCACUACCAGAGUAUACUCCUAGCAGGAGUGCUGAUGAGGGACGAGCAGGUGGAGAGCUUCGAGUGGGUCUUCACCGAGUUUGUUAGGAUGAUGGGUGGGGUGGCUCCUCGUACGAUACUUACGGAUCAGUGUGGAGCGAUGUAGAUUGGUAUAAAAAAGACACUUCCUAACACAGUCCAUCGGUGGUGCAAAUGGCAUGUACUGAAGAAAGCAAAAGAAAGUCUGGGAGCACUCUAUGGAAAGAGGAACGAAUUCAGGCAGGAAUUUCAUAAGGUUGUGAACCACAUGUUAACGGUGGACGAAUUUGAGGAGGCGUGGCACAAUUAUUAGAGAAACACAACCUGAAGGAGCACUCGUACAUGACUCAGCUCUUUGAGAUUAGGGAGAAAUGGGCUAAGCCAUACAUCAAAGGAGUCUUUUGUGCAAAAAUGACCAGUACCCAACGCAGCGAGAGUGCAAACCAUAUGCUUAAGUGCUAUGUUCCACCAGGAUCGCCAAUGCAUAUGUUUGUGAGGCAAUACAUGAGGCUGCAGUUUGAUAGGUCGUCUGACGAGAGUUACGAGGAGAAGAGAACAAAAAUAGGAGGGGUUGUGAUGCGGACGGACUCAUCUAUCGAGCUGGAUGCAAGCAGAAUUUACACGAGAUCCAUGUUCGAGCAGUUCCAACUCAUUCUGUACGAAGCAUGGGGGUACCGAGUGCAGGAGGUAGAGCAAAACUCAUUGUACAGGGCGACGCACACAAGACCUGACCAGCGUGAGAAAUGGAGCAGAGUCGUCUUCAUGGUGAGAAAUGGAGCAGAGUCGUCUUCAUGGUGAGAAUGCAUGACGACGGCGACCGGUUUGAAUGCGAGUGCGGGCUUUUUGAACACAUGGGUAUGCUUUGUGCCCACGUCUUGAAGGUUAUGGACUACCUAGGAAUGACUAGGAUUCCCAAGAAGCACAUCGUGAAACGGUGAACGAAGGAUGUGCGGGACAUACUACCAGAACACCUGCAGCACUAUCAGCGUGAU